GCCUCGGUGGCUCCAAGGGGAGAGCGCUGGCCUACAGAUUCCUGUGUGGCGGGUUCGAAUCCCGGCCGAGGUG
rnacentral:tRNA from 1 species